rnacentral:misc_RNA from 1 species
ACGACUUCAGGUAAUGAAUAAUAUGUAAAAUUCGAACCCGUUAUAGGUAUUAUUUUUUAAAUUCGGACUCGUUUCAAACUUUAUUAUAUAUUAUCCAAAUCUAUUUUAUUAAAGUUCGAUCGAAUCGAGUAUUCACAAAAAUCCGACCAUGACAUCCCUACAUUACACCAUCCAUAUAAAAACUAAUUUUUUGUUCCUAAUAUUACAAAUGGAAUUUUAUUAAUUUGAUACUAAUUUUCAUUUCGCACCCUUGGAAGGAAGAUGCCCACUCAGCAUGGGGUGAUUAAGCAGGUAGGUGUCGAAAAUCAAUGUCAACGUUGAUUGGGAAGAUAUACUUCUUACUUUACCCAAAACUCAACGAUAGAGAGGUUAAAAAAUGGACAAGAGCAGCAGUAGAAUUAAGGCAGAUAUAAAUGGGGAAUAAGUGGAAAGCAAAGUGGCGGAUUGGAUGGAAUGUUCAUUAAUCUUUAUGAUUAAAGAAUAAAAGGAUUUAAUGAUACGUCAUUUCUACUAUUUUCGUACUAUUCAUCUAAAACAAUAACUCUCCCUCUUACCCAAUGCCCAUUGUAGAGUGGAUAUGUUUAUUUUUUCAAUCGAAUGUAGUAAAUUUCAUUAAUAAGAGAUUGAUGGCCUUAAAUUAA